UCGCGGCUUAUCACCGGCAGUCCCCCUGGAGUGCCCAACUGAAUGAUGGUAACUGGCAGCGAGGGUUGCGCUCGUUGCGGGACUUAACCCAACACCUCACGACACGAGCUGACGACAGCCAUGCAGCACCUGUGUUCCAGCCAGCCGAACUGAAGGGUCUCAUCUCUGAAACCCAUACUGGACAUGUCAAGGGUUGGUAAGGUUCUGCGCGUUGCUUCGAAUUGAACCACAUGCUCCACCGCUUGUGCAGGCCCCCGUCAAUUUCUUUGAGUUUUAACCUUGCGGCCGUACUCCCCAGGCGGGGUGCUUAACGCGUUAGCUGCGACACUGACGAGCAAGCUCGCCAACGUCUAGCACCCAUCGUUUACGGCGUGGACUAC
rnacentral:misc_RNA from 1 species